AUGCACGCUGGCGGCGUGCCUCAUCCCUGCAAGUCGCGCGAACAGACGAGGAGCUUGCUCCUCUGACGUUAGCGGCGGACGGGUGAGUAACACGUGGAUAACCUACCUAUAAGACUGGGAUAACUUCGGGAAACCGGAGCUAAUACCGGAUAAUAUAUUGAACCGCAUGGUUCAAUAGUGAAAGACGGUUUUGCUGUCACUUAUAGAUGGAUCCGCGCCGCAUUAGCUAGUUGGUAAGGUAACGGCUUACCAAGGCAACGAUGCGUAGCCGACCUGAGAGGGUGAUCGGCCACACUGGAACUGAGACACGGUCCAGACUCCUACGGGAGGCAGCAGUAGGGAAUCUUCCGCAAUGGGCGAAAGCUUGACGGAGCAACGCCGCGUGAGUGAUGAAGGUCUUCGGAUCGUAAAACUCUGUUAUUAGGGAAGAACAAAUGUGUAAGUAACUAUGCACGUCUUGACGGUACCUAAUCAGAAAGCCACGGCUAACUACGU
rnacentral:rRNA from 1 species